ACUAUUUUUUGGGAGAAAGGAAAAGUUAACUGUUUUCCUUGACGUACUGACCAGAAGCCCGGCUAGUUCGUGCCGCACCGCGGUAUAUGAGGGGCAAGCGUAUCGGAUUUAUUGGGCGUAAAGCAACGCAGCCGUUUUUAAGUUGAUGUAAAUCCCUGGCUCAACUGGGAAGGCAUUGAAACUGGAAACUAGAGUCUGUAGAGGAGAGUGGAAUUCCAUUGUAGCGUGAAAUGCGUAGAUAUAUGAGGACACCAGUGCGAAGGCGACUCCUGGUCAGAACUGACGCUGAGGCUCGAAAGCGUGGGAGCAAACAGGAUUAGAUACCCUGGUAGUCCACGCCUAAACGAUGACGACUAAGAGUUGGAGGCUUUUCACCAUUGAGUGCGGAAGUUAACGCAUAAAUCAAUCCGCCUGGGGGGUAGGUCCGAAGGGUAGAAAUUAAAUGAAAUGAAGGGGGGCCGCCCCAACCGUGGGGCCAUUGGUUUAAAUUGGUACCAAGCGAAGGAACUUACCCAGCUUUUCCCUUCCAUGGACAAUCUCGGGGAUAGGUCGUGCCUUUCGGGAAUAAGAUGCCGGACACUCCUGGGUCUUGGCCGUCUUCAGUUGGGAAAGUUGGGGUUAGGUCCGGAACGGGCGGCAACCCCAACCUUUGUUUCCAGGCAGUAAGGUGGGGAAUUUAAAGGAGACUGCCGGGGACAAACCGGAGGAAGGUGGGGAGGACGUCAAGUCUUCAUGGCCUUUAGGCGUAGGGUUCCCCACGUCUUCCAAUGGUAGUUACAAAGGGCGGCCAACCCGGGAGGGGAAGCUAUCUUCAAAAAGCAUUUUCUAGUCCGGAUUGGGUCUGCAAUUGGAUUCCGUGAAGUGGGAAUCGUUGGUAAUGGGGGAUCAGAAUGCCGCGGGGAAUACGUUCCCGGUUCUUGUCCCCCCGCCCGUCCCCCCCGGGGGGUGGGUCACCCAGAAGUGGGUAGGUAACCUUAAGGAGGCGCUACCACGUGGAUCA
rnacentral:rRNA from 1 species